rnacentral:rRNA from 1 species
GGUUAAGCGACUAAGCGUACACGGUGGAUGCCCUGGCAGUCAGAGGCGAUGAAGGGCGUGCUAAUCUGCGAUAAGCGCCGGUAAGGUGAUAUGAACCGUUAUAACCGGCGAUACCCGAAUGGGGAAACCCAGUGUGACUCGUCACACUAUCAUUAACUGAAUCCAUAGGUUAAUGAGGCGAACCGGGGGAACUGAAACAUCUAAGUACCCCGAGGAAAAGAAAUCAACCGAGAUUCCCCCAGUAGCGGCGAGCGAACGGGGAGGAGCCCAGAGCCUGAAUCAGCAUGUGUGUUAGUGGAAGCGUCUGGAAAGGCGCGCGAUACAGGGUGACAGCCCCGUACACAAAAGCGCAUGUGCUGUGAGCUCGAUGAGUAGGGCGGGACACGUGGUAUCCUGUCUGAAUAUGGGGGGACCAUCCUCCAAGGCUAAAUACUCCUGACUGACCGAUAGUGAACCAGUACCGUGAGGGAAAGGCGAAAAGAACCCCGGCGAGGGGAGUGAAAAAGAACCUGAAACCGUGUACGUACAAGCAGUGGGAGCCCCACCACCAAAGCAUUUGCUGUACCGCGUUGACGGAGCGAAGCGACGUCAAACCGAUAAAACAGCAGUGUAAAGUGAGCCGC